GACGAACGCUGGCGGCGUGCUUAACACAUACAAGUCGAACGGAAAGGCCCUGCUUUUGUGGGGUGCUCGAGUGGCGAACGGGUGAGUAACACGUGAGUAACCUGCCCUUGACUUUGGGAUAACUUCAGGAAACUGGGGCUAAUACCGGAUAGGAGCUCCUGCUGCAUGGUGGGGGUUGGAAAGUUUCGGCGGUUGGGGAUGGACUCGCGGCUUAUCAGCUUGUUGGUGGGGUAGUGGCUUACCAAGGCUUUGACGGGUAGCCGGCCUGAGAGGGUGACCGGCCACAUUGGGACUGAGAUACGGCCCAGACUCCUACGGGAGGCAGCAGUGGGGAAUAUUGCACAAUGGGCGGAAGCCUGAUGCAGCAACGCCGCGUGCGGGAUGACGGCCUUCGGGUUGUAAACCGCCUUCGCCUGUGACGAAGCGUGAGUGACGGUAAUGGGUAAAGAAGCACCGGCUAACUACGUG
rnacentral:rRNA from 1 species